CCCCCCUUGAUGUUGUCCUCCCUCCCCUUGAACCUGCUCCACCUCUGCACAUCCUACCGCCUCGUCCAAGUUGGGUGGGUUGUGCAGUUGCAUUGUGGUGAGCAGUUGAUGAUUGUGCCACUUGUGAGUGAGAGAUAGGAGGUUGCCCAUCCUUCCUUGGUCUACCUCUAGACCUCUUUGGUGGUGGUUCAGUUGGGGCAGAGGCAGUGUCUUUGUUGGGGCACCAUCUUUUGUUGUGGCCUUUAACAUGACAUAUACUACAUGUCAUUUCCAUGCCGGUUCUUUUCAAGGUUCCCGGCUUCUUGGGAUCCUCCAUUGGAUCCUUUCUCCUGUUUACUCUAGGCCUCCCUGGCCCAAUUUUGAUGGGAGGGGGAUCUAAACCAUACUCUACCCUCGGCCAAUACCUUUCACCAUCUAUGGGUGGUAUUGAACCUGAAAAUAACAAAGCAUAAUUAUCAACUUGCAAACACGAUUACUUUCCUAAGUAUCAACUAGCAAACACGAUUACUUGCCUAAGUGUCACAUACCAAACACGAUUACGUGCCUAAGUGUCAACUAGCAAACACGAUUACUCGCCUAACUAUGAGUAUGAUUACAUGAUUGGAAAAUAAACAAGGGUUACCUGCAUAGGCCUUCAAGUAUCACUACAAGAAGCGGUGAUUUUACGACCGAAAUUUCCGACCGUAUAAAAAGUAGUCGCUAAAAUUAAAUUUUACCGACUAAAUAAUAGGUAGUCGUUAAAUUCAAUUUUUACCGACUAACAUUUUGUGGUCGGUAAUUUACGACUACUUUACAGGUAAACUACGACUACUUAGUAGUCGUGAAUAAAGUUGACCAAAACAAAUUUUCAAAAAAACUUACCGACUACUUUUACCGACCAAAUAAUUUUACCGACUACCUAAUGUAGUCGGAAUUUACCGACUACUUUGAAGUUGGUCGUUAAAAUAGAGUUUUACCGACUACUUUGAUGUUGGUCGUUAAUUUAACGACUAAAAAAGUAGUCGAUAAAAUAUCGGCCCAAAAAAAAUUCCAACAUUUUUCUAAAUAUUAAAAGUUAUUACCGACUACUAAAUUAGUCGGAAAUUUCAAUGAAUACCGACUAAUUUAGUAGUCGGUAUUAUUUUAAAAAUAAUAAAAUUUAUUACCGACUACUAAGUUAGUCGGAAAUUUCAAUAAAUACCGACUAAUUUAGUAGUCGGUGAUUUUUUUUUAAUUAAAACAAAUAAAGUAGUCGUUACUGUACUCUUUUAGAGAUUUGGGCUUUGGGCUUUAGAAUUUCAGUAUUUCACGCAUCAUCACACAACCACAAAAACCCUAACCUACUCUCAUAUCCUCUCUCUCUCUCUCCUCCCUCUUCACGUCGUUUCCCCCUUUUCCAACUCUCUCCUUUCUAAUUCUAUGCAACGUAUAUCUCCCAAUCCUCUCUUCUUCAGAUCAUCAUCACCUCACCGAUCUCCUUCAUCAUCAACCUCCUUUUAUCAUCAUCGACACCGUAGAUGAUCAUCAAAAUUGGGGAUGGAAGAUCUCAAGCAAAUAUUUGGAGUGAGGAGCAAAAUCUUGUUUUGUAAUUUUCGUUUUAGAUUAGAUUAAGUAUUAUAAUUUUUUCGACUCUAUUAGAUCUAACUUGUUGGUACAAGUAUUGUUGUAAUAACUCUUGAAUAUAUAAGUUUGGGUUUCAUUUUCUUUGUGGGUUAAUAAUAUGAAAAGUUGUUUUGAUUGUUA